rnacentral:rRNA from 1 species
GAGUUUGAUCAUGGCUCAGAUUGAACGCUGGCGGCAGGCCUAACACAUGCAAGUCGAGCGGAUGAAGGGAGCUUGCUCCUGGAUUCAGCGGCGGACGGGUGAGUAAUGCCUAGGAAUCUGCCUGGUAGUGGGGGAUAACGUCCGGAAACGGGCGCUAAUACCGCAUACGUCCUGAGGGAGAAAGUGGGGGAUCUUCGGACCUCACGCUAUCAGAUGAGCCUAGGUCGGAUUAGCUAGUUGGUGGGGUAAAGGCCUACCAAGGCGACGAUCCGUAACUGGUCUGAGAGGAUGAUCAGUCACACUGGAACUGAGACACGGUCCAGACUCCUACGGGAGGCAGCAGUGGGAAUAUUGGACAAUGGGCGAAAGCCUGAUCCAGCCAUGCCGCGUGUGUGAAGAAGGUCUUCGGAUUGUAAAGCACUUUAAGUUGGGAGGAAGGGCAGUAAGUUAAUACCUUGCUGUUUUGACGUUACCAACAGAAUAAGCACCGGCUAACUUCGUG